CACACUCUCUGAACCCACUGCUCAUCUGCAUAGAUCGUGACAUGGGAUUGGAGAGUGACCU
rnacentral:pre_miRNA from 1 species